CCUCUUUUUGUCUUGUUUUGUUUUCUUUUCUCAUUUAGCUCAGCUGAGGAACUCACCAUCUGUGAACAGUGAAAUUCAACUCAGGAAUUAAGGAAGGCACAGACAACAGGAAGAUCCAAGUGCAUCCACUCAAUACCUGGGGACCAAACCGAGGGCCUUCUGCAUGCCUGCUCAACCUCUGAGCUACACCUGCAGUUCCAAUUCAUAUUCGCAUGUAUUAAGAAAUGUAAGCAUCCGUGUCAUAGUAUAAUUCCAAGAAUUCAUGGCUAUUGGACUGUGGGAAGAAUUUCUUAGAAAAUCAACUUUUACAAAAGAACAAUAACAGGAAUGAAUUGCAGCUUAUUUUGCAAAACAGAAGAGCAAGUGACAAAAUGCUACUGUGGGUCUUAAAGAGUUAAUGCUGAUUGCUAACUUGACAGCAUCUAAAGUCACCUAGGCGACAGUCUCUGGGCCUGUCUCUGAGGGAGUUCGAGACUGGAUUAACUGAGGU